ACUUUUGGUUGGGUCUCUUUCUCUUUCUCUGCCACUGCAAAAAUUAAAGGCGAUGGAGAGCCAGAGCCAGAGCUCGUGCUUAUCGUACGAGAAGCUGAACGGGGUGGCCAGCUGGCUUGGGACCCACGUGGCAUCGGCCUUCUUCGCAUCGCUGGAGCGGUGCUCCUGCAUCAACCUCUCCACCUCCGACGACCACGAAAUGAACCCAGAAGAAGCUCACGACCGACCCCUCAUGCUCUUCGCCUCUCGCUCCGUCAAUCUCAGCGACCACCGUCCUCACUACCCUUCUUCCUCCUCCUCGUCGGCCCCAAACGACGUCGUCAAUCUCCCGGUCUGAUGAGGGACAGACACGUCAGCAUCCUCGAUGGGAUCGGAAAAUUGGGUUCAUUUUGUUCUCUCUAGGUUUUUUUUUCUUUUGAAAUUUUGGGUUUUGGAUUUAUUUCCAUUCAAUUUGUGAUGUUUUCAGGUCGUGAAAGUCGAAAUUGAAUCGGGAAAAUUGGGGGUUGGAUUUGUUAUCUGUGUAUGAUUUGAUUGAUUAUAUGCUUUUUACCCUGGAUGUGAUGUGUUGCUGUUUGUAUUGUUGCCUGUAACAAUAUAUAUUUUUUAAGUGUAUUAUAUAUAGUUAAAGUUAAUGGGAAAAUGAAGGUCUCCUCUCUCUGAUUUCUGUGCAAUGGGUGUUGUUUGAU
rnacentral:lncRNA from 1 species